rnacentral:sRNA from 1 species
CUGAUUAGCUAGUUGGCGAGGUAAUAGCUUACCAAGGCAAUGAUCAGUAGCUGGUCCGAGAGGAUGAACUGA